UGUCUGAGUGGUGGAAGAGAAGAGGGCUUGAAGAGGAUGCAGAAGGCUUAGAAUGGUUUUGAAACUGAAUAAAAUAAGCAAUUGAAUAAGGAUACAUGCAAGGAUUGAAAGUAUUGUUCCCAUGUAAGAAAGAUGUCAUAUAAUAAACAUAGAGCCAUGGAGGCCUACUGCCAUGUGACUGGAGGUAAUUUCUGAGAAGAGCUGCAGAAGUGGGCAGACUCUUGAGACCUCAGAAGAGUACUCUGGCUACAAUAGGAAGCAUGUCUAAAGAAAAGACUAUAUGGGAUUCAUGGAGAUGCAUUGAGAAGCUGUUCCAGCAAGCCAGGAAAAGUUGAGAAUGGCCAAGGCAAGAGUAAGAUGGCCCAACAGAAUCCUGGAGGAGCUGUUACUCAAACAUAUGUGUAGAAAUACCUACAAAUGACAAAACAGGUAGACUAUGACAGAUAGAGAGAUGCGCCACCCAAAUCCUCCUUCAGCCAUGUGAAGAUGUACCUGCUUUCCCUUCACCUUCCACCAUGAUUUCAAGUUUCCCGAGGCCUCCCCAGAAGCAAAAGGCCUGUACAGCCCAC